AGUGAACGCUGGCGGCGUGCUUAACACAUGCAAGUCGAACGGUAACAGGAACUAGCUUGCUAGUUUGCUGACGAGUGGCGCACGGGUGAGUAAUAUAUAGUUAAUGUACCCCAAAGACUGGGAUAGCCACUGGAAACGGUGAUUAAUACUAGAUACACCUCUUUAACAUAAGUUAGAGAGGGAAAUGUCUUUUCGCUUUGGGAUCAGACUAUAUCCUAUCAGUUAGUUGGUGAGGUAAUGGCUCACCAAGGCAAUGACGGGUAGCGGGUUUGAGAGGAUGAUCCGCCACACUGGUACUGAGACACGGACCAGACUCCUACGGGAGGCAGCAGUGAGGAAUAUUGCACAAUGGGGGGAACCCUGAUGCAGCAACGCCGCGUGGAGGAUGACGCAUUUCGGUGUGUAAACUCCUUUUAUAUGUCAAGAAAUGACGGUAGCAUAUGAAUAAGCACCGGCUAACUCCGUGCCAGCAGCCGCGGUAAAGUAUCG
rnacentral:rRNA from 1 species